rnacentral:misc_RNA from 1 species
AUGAAGGAGUCAUUACUAGGGGGAAAAGUAUAAUUCAACACCUUAUCUAGUUUUGCUAUAUAAAUUAAAACCGUGGUCAUAUCGGUAACGGAAAUUAAUGUGAACGUGAAACACGGCACAUUGUCCCACUGCUUGUCGGAAGAUUGGCGAUAAAACGAAAACAAUGAUGGCGACCCUUAUAUCUACUAUGUUAAGCCUGGUAUUGCUACGGAUUAGCGAUUCUGUAACGGCACGGACCACUCACAUUCCAGUUGCCAUCACCAAGACGUGGAAUGGUUCGAACAUUGAUCACCGACCUGUUCGAUUGGUCUUUGCACAGGCGACUGGUGGAAUAGAAAUCAGAGUGGACGCCCCCUUUUUCAAUGACCCAGGUAAUCCUGGGGGUGAACCAGGACAGCCGUUCAAUGGUCUGUGGGACUAUGAAGUCGUUGAAGCAUUCUUUUUGAACGACAAUAACCAGUAUGUUGAAAUAGAACUGUGCCCCCACGGUCAACACCUUGUUUUACUUCUGAAAGGCUAUCGAGAUAUGUUCACAAGUCAACUUCCGUUGAACUUUACAUCGUCAAUUAACAACGGUAAUUGGACAGGAUGUGCUUUUGUACCCGCUUCCUAUUUCCCACCCAAAGUUACCAAAUUUAAUGCUUACGCAAUACAUGGUUCUGGGCCAGGAAGAGUAUACGAAGCGCUGUACCCUGCUUCUGCAGAAAAGCACACUGAACCCGAUUUUCACAGAUUGGAAUACUUCCGAACGAUUAAUUUCCGAACCUUACUUCCUGAAAACUGGGCUUCUACAUACAGCUCAGCAUUGUGGGAUUCUAUCGUGCUCGGAUAAAAUAGAAAUGAUUUAACCAUGUACAUUAUUUAUAUAUGUGGAAAAAAUAUCUAGAUUAAAUUUUAGAUCGUUUUCAAUUGAAUUGAAAUGUCUUGUGCUGCAUAAGUCACUUUGCGAUACAUUUCAUUUUUU